GAUGAACGCUGGCGGCGUGCCUAAUACAUGCAAGUCGAGCGAAGCGGGGACGGGUGAGUAACACGUGGAUAACCUCCUAUAAGACUGGGAUAACGUCGGGAAACCGGAGAUAAAAAGGAUACUUAUAGGUGGAUCCGCGCUGCAUUAGCUAGCUGGUAAGGUAACGGGUUACCAAGGCAACGAUGCAUAGCCGACCUGAGAGGGUGAUCGGCCACACUGGAACUGAGACACGGGCCAGAUUCCUGUGUGAGGCAGCAGUAGGGAAUGUUCCGCAGUGGGCGAGAGCCUGACGGAGCAACGCCGCUUGAGUGAUGAAGUUCUUCGGAUCGUAAAACUCUGUUAUUAGGGAAGCGUAACCUAAUCAGAGAGCCACCUCUAACUACGUGCCAGCAGCCGCGGUAAUAC
rnacentral:rRNA from 1 species